GGUAAAGCCUGGGAAACUGGGGUCUAAUACUGGAUAUGCACCGUGAACCGCAUGGUUUUGGUGGAAAGAUUAUUGGUCAAGGAUGGACUCGCGGCCUAUCAGCUUGUUGGUGAGGUAAUGGCUCACCAAGGCGACGACGGGUAGCCGGCCUGAGAGGGUGACCGGCCACACUGGGACUGAGACACGGCCCAGACUCCUACGGGAGGCAGCAGUGGGGAAUAUUGCACAAUGGGCGAAAGCCUGAUGCAGCGACGCCGCGUGAGGGAUGACGGCCUUCGGGUUGUAAACCUCUUUCAGUAGGGAAGAAGCGAAAGUGACGGUACCUGCAGAAGAAGCGCCGGCUAACUACGUGCCAGCAGCCGCGGUAAUACGUAGGGCGCAAGCGUUAUCCGAAAUUAUUGGGCGUAGAGAGCUCGUAGGCGGUUUGUCGCGUCUAUCGUUAAAGUCCGAGGCUCAACUUCGGAUCUGCGGUGGGUACGGGCAGACUAGAGUGAUGUAGGGGAGACUGGAAUUCCUGGUGUAGCGGUGAAAUGCGCAG
rnacentral:rRNA from 1 species